rnacentral:tRNA from 1 species
GUACAGGGUAGUUUAGUGGACAUGGCAUCUGCCCAGUAAGCAGAACACUGGGGUUCGAUUCCCAUCCCGGACA